AUGAUAUCAAUAGAUGAAUUAGCAAGAAUUACUCCUGUCAAUCCUCCAAUUGUGAAUAAAAAAAUAAAACCUAAAGAUCAAAUUGUGGAAGUUGCUGAUGUAAAAUAUGCUCGUGUAUCAACGUCUAUUCCAAUUGAAAAAGUUACUUUAGGGAUAACAGCUAUAUUUGUUAUAAUUAUUAAUUUUUUGAUUUUAUUUUUAAUAGUUUUUAUAAGAGUUGCUUUUUUUACUUUAUUAGAGCGUAAAGUUUUAGGUUAUAUUCAAUUACGUAAAGGUCCGAAUAAGUUUUUGAUUAAAGGUAUUUUUCAACCUAUAGGUGAUGGGUUAAAAUUAUUUUUUAAAGAAGUUAAUUAUCCGAGUAAUAUAAAUUUUUUUAUUUUUAUAAUUUCUCCUUUAUUGGGUUUAUUAAUUUCAAUUUUUUUUUGAUUUAUUUAUCCUUAUAUUGGUAUGAACUAUAUUAUAGGAUUUGGUUUAAUUUAUAUAUUUUGUUGUUCAAGUUUAAUAGUUUAUAUUUUUUUAAUAAUUAGAUGAUCUUCGAAUUCUAAUUAUUCAGUUUUAGGUAUAAUUCGGUUUAUUUCUCAAAUGAUUUCAUAUGAAGUUAGAAUAAUAAUUAUUAUUAUAAAUUUAAUAUUUUUAAUUAAUAGUUUUAAUUUAAAUGAUUUUUAUAUCUAUCAAAUUAAUUUAAAAUUUUUUUUUUUUCUUUUUUUUUUGUUUAUUUUAUUAUUAAUUAGAUUUUUAGCUGAAAUAAAUCGUUCUCCUUUUGAUUUUUCUGAGGGUGAAUCAGAAUUAGUUUCUGGAUUUAAUAUUGAAUUUAGAAGUUUAUCUUUUAUUUUUAUUUUUAUAUCUGAAUAUAUAAGAAUUAUAUUUAUAGGGAUACUAUUAUGUGAAAUGUUUUUUGGUUUGAUAAUAAAUAAAUUUUAUUUAAAUAUUUUUAUUUUGAUUUUUAUAUUUAUAGUUAUUUGAUUACGUGGGUUUUUACCACGAUUUCGUUAUGAUAAAUUAAUAUAUUUAGUUUGGAAAUUAAUUUUACCUUUGUCUUUAUUUUUAUUUGUCUUUAAUUUUUCUAUUAAAUUAUUUAACUUAUAUCAUUAAUUUAAGUAUUAAGUUAAUAGAAUUAAAUUCUAUUUUUUAUUUUCAAAAUAAAUAUUUUAAAUAAAUUAAUUAACUAAAUUAAUAAUUUAUCUCAUAACUUUAUGAUAUAAAAGUUAAUGAAAAAGUAAGAAAAAUAAAUUGUUGUAAAAAUUUGCCCUGUUGUAAUAAAUGGGUAUUCAACUGGUUGUAUCCCAAUUCAGGUUAAAAUAAAAAAUGUUAUAAUAAAUAUUCAGAAUAAAAAUUUAUUUAAUGGGUAAAAUUUAUUUCUUAAAAAAUUUUUAUUGUUUAAUAUAGGUAAGAUUAAUAAAAUUAAAAUUGAAAGUAUUAAAGCAAUAACCCCUCCUAAUUUAUUAGGGAUUGCUCGUAAAAUUGAAUAAGAAAAUAAAAAAUAUCAUUCUGGUUGAAUGUGAUUUGGUGUAAUUAUUGAAUUUGCUAUAAUAAAAUUAUUGUGAUCAUUUAGUAGGUAUGGAAAAAUUAAAGCUAAAAUAAAAAAUAUUCAUAUAAAUAUGAUUAAUCCAAUUAAAUCUUUAAUUAGAAAAUAUGGAGAAAAAGUAAUUUUAUCAAAAUUUCUAUUAAUUCCUAGUGGAUUAUUAGAACCUGUUAAAUGAAGAAAGAAUAAGUGAAUAAAAGUAAAUAAAAUAAUAAUAAAUGGUAAAAUAAAAUGGAUUGAGAAAAAUCGUGUUAAUGUAGCAUUAUUAAUUGAGAAUCCCCCUCAAAUUCAAAUAACAAUUGAAUUUCCUAAAUAAGGAAUUGCUGAUAAUAAAUUUGUGAUUACUGUUGCCCCCCAAAAUGAUAUUUGUCCUCAUGGUAAUACAUAACCUACAAAUGCUGUUAUUAUUGUUAAUAAUAAUAAAAUUACUCCAAUAAUUCAUGUUAUUUUAAAGUUGAAAGAAUUUAUAUAGAUACCUCGUCUAAUAUGAAUAUAAAU